AUACGGGGGGUGCAAGCGUUAAUCGGAAUUACUGGGCGUAAAGCGCGCGUAGGCGGUUUGCUCAGUCGGAUGUGAAAGCCCAGGGCUCAACCUUGGAACUGCAUACGAUACUGGCAAACUAGAGUGGGAGAGGGGAUAGUGGAAUUUCCGGUGUAGCGGUGAAAUGCGUAGAUAUCGGAAGGAACAUCAGUGGCGAAGGCGACUGUCUGGCUCAACACUGACGCUGAGGUGCGAAAGCGUGGGUAGCAAACAGGAUUAGAAACCCUAGUAGUCC
rnacentral:rRNA from 1 species